rnacentral:rRNA from 1 species
AAGAGCUCGUAGGUGGUUUGUCACGUUGUUCGUGAAAACCCACAGCUCAACUGUGGGCGUGCGAGCGAUACGGGCAGACUAGAGUACUGCAGGGGAGACUGGAAUUCCUGGUGUAGCGGUGGAAUGCGCAGAUAUCAGGAGGAACACCGGUGGCGAAGGCGGGUCUCUGGGCAGUAACUGACGCUGAGGAGCGAAAGCGUGGGGAGCGAACAGGAUUAGAUACCCUGGUAGUCCACGCCGUAAACGGUGGGUACUAGGUGUGGGUUUCCUUCCUUGGGAUCCGUGCCGUAGCUAACGCAUUAAGUACCCCGCCUGGGGAGUACGGCCGCAAGGCUAAAACUCAAAGAAAUUGACGGGGGCCCGCACAAGCGGCGGAGCAUGUGGAUUAAUUCGAUGCAACGCGAAGAACCUUACCUGGGUUUGACAUGCACAGGACGCUGGUAGAGAUAUCAGUUCCCUUGUGGCCUGUGUGCAGGUGGUGCAUGGCUGUCGUCAGCUCGUGUCGUGAGAUGUUGGGUUAAGUCCCGCAACGAGCGCAACCCCUAUCUUAUGUUGCCAGCGCGUUAUGGCGGGGACUCGUAAGAGACUGCCGGGGUCAACUCGGAGGAAGGUGGGGAUGACGUCAAGUCAUCAUGCCCCUUAUGUCCAGGGCUUCACACAUGCUACAAUGGCCGGUACAGAGGGCUGCGAAUCCGUAAGGUGGAGCGAAUCCCUUCAAAGCCGGUCUCAGUUCGGAUCGGGGUCUGCAACUCGACCCCGUGAAGUCGGAGUCGCUAGUAAUCGCAGAUCAGCAACGCUGCGGUGAAUACGUUCCCGGGCCUUGUACACACCGCCCGUCACGUCAUGAAAGUCGGUAACACCCGAAGCCGGUGGCCUAACCCCUUGUGGGAGGGAGCCGUCGAAGGUGGGAUCGGCGAUUGGGACGA